rnacentral:rRNA from 1 species
AACGAACGCUGGCGGCAGGCCUAACACAUGCAAGUCGAACGUGAAGCCACCUUCGGGUGGUGGAAAGUGGCAGACGGGUGAGUAACGCGUGGGAACGUGCCUUUCGGUUCGGGAUAACCCAGGGAAACUUGGGCUAAUACCGGAUACGCCCUUCGGGGGAAAGAUUCAUUGCCGAAAGAUCGGCCCGCGUCGGAUUAGCGAGUUGGUGGGGUAAAAGCCUACCAAGGCGACGAUCCGUAGCUGGUCUGAGAGGAUGACCAGCCACACUGGGACUGAGACACGGCCCAGACUCCUACGGGAGGCAGCAGUGGGGAAUAUUGGACAAUGGGCGCAAGCCUGAUCCAGCCAUGCCGCGUGGGUGAAGAAGGCCCUAGGGUUGUAAACCCCUUUCAGCGGGGAAGAUAAUGACGGUACCCGCAGAAGAAGCCCCGGCUAACUCCGUGCCAGCCGCCGCAGUAAGAC